rnacentral:lncRNA from 1 species
UAUACCCUGAUGUUCGUUUACAAAUUUGUGAUAGCUACUGGAAUGAAAAAAAUUUGCCAACUUGCAAAAUUUGCGGAAAAAAAGUUAAAGUGGGAGAAGCAACUGCAUUACUUUGGGGUGGCAGACAAGCCAAUGCUUUUGAAUUCCCAUGGGUUAUAGCGGUAUUUAAGAUCUCAGGAACAGGUUACGAGAAUAUAUGUGGGGGCACGCUAAUAAGCAGAAGAGUUGUUAUAACUGGUUACGGGUCCAGUUCACGUGAACUGUGAACAGGUGAAAAAAUAUGGCGAUCAGCAAUAACGAUGAUAAAAUUCAAGUCGAUAAACUUGAGGGUCCUGAAGAGUGGGCAA